rnacentral:rRNA from 1 species
AAACGCUUGGAGUCAGUCGCGUCUCUCUGGACUCAGCCGUGGUUUUCCUCGGUGUACUUCCAGUUGGAUGGGCCAGCAUCGAUUUUGUUCGCCGUACAAAGGCGUGAGGAAUGUGGCAUUCUUCGGGAUGUGUUAUAGCCUCGCGUUGUAUGCGGUGGGUGGGAUCGAGGAACGCAGCGCGCCGCAAGGCUGGGAUUCGUCCACACACGCGCUUCGGAUGCUGGCGUAAUGGCUUUAAGCGA